rnacentral:rRNA from 1 species
GACGAACGCUGGCGGCGUGCUUAACACAUGCAAGUCGAACGCAGUGGCGAACGGGUGAGUAAUAUGUGGGUUACCUGCCCUCCUUUUUGGGAUAAGCCUUGGAAACGGGGUCUAAUACCGAAUAUAGGGGGAUGGGCUCGCGGCCUAUCAGCUGGUUGGUGGGGUUAUUGCCUCCCAAGGCGGUGACGGGUUGCCGGGCUGAGAGGGAGAACGGGCACUGUGGGACGGAAAUAAGGCCCAGGGGAGUAAGAGGGGGGGAAGUGGGGGAUAGUGGACAAAGGGCGAAAGCGUGAUGCAGCGAGGCCGAGUGGGGGAUGAGGGUUUUAGGGUUGUAGAGCUCUUUCAGAAUCGAACGGGUAGGUGGAGAAGAAGCGCCGGCUAACUACGUGCCAGCAGCCGCGGUAAUAC